GAUGAAGAACGUAGCAAAAUGCGAUACUUGGUGUGAAUUGCAGAAUCCCGUGAACCAUCGAGUUUUUGAACGCAAGUUGCGCCCGAAGCCAUUAGGCCGAGGGCACGCCUGCCUGGGCGUCACACGUCGUUGCCCCCCCAUCUAAUCCUUCGGGAUUGCGGGGGGCGGAUGAUGGCCUCCCGUGCGCCUCGUCGCGCGGUUGGCAUAAAUGCCAAGUCCUCGGCGACGCACGCCACGACAAUCGGUGGUUGCGAAACCUCGGUUGCCCGUUGUGUGCGGUCGUCGCGCAUCGAGGGCUCGAAAAAAUUGCCGGGCUCCGGCUCGACUUUCAACGCGACCCCAGGUCAGGCGGGGUUACCCGCUGAAUUUAAGCAUAUCAAUAAGCGGAGGA
rnacentral:misc_RNA from 1 species